rfam:Parcubacteria bacterium C7867-005 C7867_00008, whole genome shotgun sequence.
GGCCCUAUCGUCUAUCGGUUAGGACGAAAGCUUUUCAAGCUUUAAAGCCGGGUUCGACUCCCGGUAGGGUCA